rnacentral:misc_RNA from 1 species
GAAAUGCGAUAAUUAAUGUGAAUUGCAGAAUUCAGUGAAUCAUCGAGUCUUUGAACGCACAUUGCGCCCCCUGGUAUUCCGGGGGGCAUGCCUGUCCGAGCGUCAUUGCUGCCCUCAAGCACGGCUUGUGGGUUGGGCUUCCGUCCCUGGCAACGGGGACGGGCCCAAAAGGCAGUGGCGGCACCAUGUCUGGUCCUCGAGCGUGUGGGGCUUUGUCACCCGCUCCCGUAGGUCCAGCUGGCAGCUAGCCUCGCAACCAAUCUUUUUAACCAGGUUGACCUCGGAUCAGGUAGGGAUACCCGCUGAACUUAAGC